AUUGAACGCUGGCGGCAGGCCUAACACAUGCAAGUCGAACGAGUGGCGGACGGGUGAGUAAUGUCUGGGAAACUGCCCGAUGGAGGGGGAUACAUACUGGAAACGGUAGCUAAUACCGCAUCCCAUCGGAUGUGCCCAAAUGGGAUUAUCUAGUAGGUGGGGUAACGGCUCACCUAGGCGACGAUCCCUAGCUGGUCUGAGAGGAUGACCAUCCACACUGGCACUGAGACACGGUCCAGACUCCUACGGGAGGCAGAAGUUGGGAAUAUUGCACAAUGGGCGCAAGCCUGAUACAGCCAUGCCGCGUGUAUGAAGAAGGCCUUCGGGUUGUAAAGUACUUUCAGCGAGGAGGCGUUACUCGCAGAAGAAGCACCGGCUAACUCCGUGCCAGCAGCCGCGGUAAUUC
rnacentral:rRNA from 1 species